UACGUAGGGGGCAAGCGUUGUCCGGAUUUAUUGGGCGUAAAGAGCGUGUAGGCGGCCAAGCAGGUCCGCUGUGAAAACUCGAGGCUCAACCUCGAGACGUCGAUGGAAACCAUCUGGCUAGAGUCCGGAAGAGGAGAGUGGAAUUCCUGGUGUAGCGGUGAAAUGCGCAGAUAUCAGGAAGAACACCCGUGGCGAAGGCGGCUCUCUGGGACGGUACUGACGCUGAGACGCGAAAGCGUGGGGAGCGAACAGG
rnacentral:rRNA from 1 species